rnacentral:rRNA from 1 species
GGCGUGCCUUUUGUAGAAUGAACCGGCGAGUUACGAUUUGAUGCAAGGUUAAGCAGUAAAUGUGGAGCCGUAGCGAAAGCGAGUCUGAAUAGGGCGUUUAGUAUUUGGUCGUAGACCCGAAACCAGGUGAUCUACCCUUGGUCAGGUUGAAGUUCAGGUAACACUGAAUGGAGGACCGAACCGACUUACGUUGAAAAGUGAGCGGAUGAACUGAGGGUAGCGGAGAAAUUCCAAUCGAACCUGGAGAUAGCUGGUUCUCUCCGAAAUAGCUUUAGGGCUAGCCUCAAGUGAUGAUUAUUGGAGGUAGAGCACUGUUUGGACGAGGGGCCCCUCUCGGGUUACCGAAUUCAGACAAACUCCGAAUGCCAAUUAAUUUAACUUGGGAGUCAGAACAUGGGUGAUAAGGUCCGUGUUCGAAAGGGAAACAGCCCAGACCACCAGCUAAGGUCCCAAAAUAUAUGUUAAGUGGAAAAGGAUGUGGCGUUGCCCAGACAACUAGGAUGUUGGCUUAGAAGCAGCCAUCAUUUAAAGAGUGCGUAAUAGCUCACUAGUCGAGUGACACUGCGCCGAAAAUGUACCGGGGCUAAACAUAUUACCGAAGCUGUGGAUUGUCCUUUGGACAAUGGUAGGAGAGCGUUCUAAGGGCGUUGAAGCAUGAUCGUAAGGACAUGUGGAGCGCUUAGAAGUGAGAAUGCCGGUGUGAGUAGCGAAAGACGGGUGAGAAUCCCGUCCACCGAUUGACUAAGGUUUCCAGAGGAAGGCUCGUCCGCUCUGGGUUAGUCGGGUCCUAAGCUGAGGCCGACAGGCGUAGGCGAUGGAUAACAGGUUGAUAUUCCUGUACCACCUAUAAUCGUUUUAAUCGAUGGGGGGACGCAGUAGGAUAGGCGAAGCGUGCGAUUGGAUUGCACGUCUAAGCAGUAAGGCUGAGUAUUAGGCAAAUCCGGUACUCGUUAAGGCUGAGC